UUGACACCAGUGCUACGGCCGAACACCCAAGUGUUUCCCCUUUCCCCUUGGCUGCUUUCCCUCUCCUAGUAUGCCAAACUAACCCGAGUCCGAGAGCAAAAAGUUGGUCGUAGGGAAAUAAUCCGCCAUAGGACGAGAGAGGGACCAAAAUGCGAGCGGGAAUGUAUUAAAGAAUUAAGAACUGGUGAAGACGAACGUGUUGCUUCCAUAUCAGGAUGACAGCAUCUUGCACAAAAAAUUGACCCUUUCACCCUUCAGGCAGAAGGAGCAAGCGGAGGAAUCCACGAAGGCUGAGCUGAGACGCCGAGCCGACGCGUCUCAAGCCUACGUGGCGUGGCUCGGGUCACACCCACGCCUCUCUCGCAGGUACGACUCGCGGGCGUACUCGGGGGGGAGGGUCGUGACCUACUAUGACCGGGGUCGUCCCUCUUCGCCUACCAUGGUCAACCCGAUGCCGUGGAAAAGGCUCUGACAGGGUCUUUGAAUAGGAUGUUUCAUAGGCGGUGUCUUUGUAUUCUCUAUUUCUGUGUAUGGUGUAUAGUUUGGGAAUUAAAGGAGAAUAAGAGGAAAUUGCGGGAGUAAAGAGGGAAAUGGAAAUAAUUUUCACGAAAUGCCAUGCUUUAUUUAUUAGUUUAUUAAUGUUUAUUGUAGAGUAUGUUGAAUUCCACUGCUACGCAACGGCCAAACAAAUAAAAUAUAUUUAACUA
rnacentral:misc_RNA from 1 species